rnacentral:tRNA from 1 species
GGAGACAUGGUUAAUUAAUGGUAGAGCACCUGCCUAUCAAGCAUGAAACCUUGAGUUCAAACCCCAGUGCUUCCC